rnacentral:rRNA from 1 species
UGUGGCCAAGUUGUUAAGGGCACACGGUGGAUGCCUGGGCACCAGGAGCCGAUGAAGGACGUAGGAGGCUGCGAUAAGCCUCGGGGAGCUGUCAACCGAGCGUUGAUCCGAGGAUUUCCGAAUGGGGGAACCCCGCACCAGUCAUGUGGUGUGACCCGCGCCUGAACACAUAGGGCGUGUGGAGGGAACGUGGGGAAGUGAAACAUCUCAGUACCCACAGGAAGAGAAAACAACCGUGAUUCCGUGAGUAGUGGCGAGCGAAAGCGGAUGAGGCUAAACCGUUUCCAUGUGAUACCCGGCAGGGGUUGUGGGAGCGGGGUCGUGGGACAG